rnacentral:rRNA from 1 species
UUAGAGUUUGAUCCUGGCUCAGGAUGAACGCUGGCGGUCUGCUUAACACAUGCAAGUCGAACGGAGUGCUUCGGCACUUAGUGGCGGACGGGUGAGUAACGCGUGAGAAUCUGCCCUUAGGACGGGGACAACAGCUGGAAACGGCUGCUAAUACCCGAUGUGCCGAGAGGUGAAACAUUUUAUGGCCUGAGGAUGAGCUCGCGUCUGAUUAGCUAGUUGGUGGGGUAAGGGCCCACCAAGGCGACGAUCAGUAGCUGGUCUGAGAGGAUGAUCAGCCACACUGGGACUGAGACACGGCCCAGACUCCUACGGGAGGCAGCAGUGGGGAAUUUUCCGCAAUGGGCGCAAGCCUGACGGAGCAAGACCGCGUGCGGGAGGACGGCCUAUUGGUUGUAAACCGCUUUUGAUAGGGAAGAAGCACUGACGGUACCUAUCGAAUCAGCAUCGGCUAACUCCGUGCCAGCAGCCGCGGUAAUACGGAGGAUGCAAGCGUUAUCCGGAAUUAUUGGGCGUAAAGCGUCCGUAGGUGGUUGUUCAAGUCUGCUGUUAAAGCGUGCGGCUUAACCGCAUACCAGCAGUGGAAACUGGGCGACUAGAGUGCGGUAGGGGUCAGGGGAAUUCCCAGUGUAGCGGUGAAAUGCGUAGAUAUUGGGAAGAACA